AGGCGCGUAGCUCAGUGGGAGAGCGCUACCUUGACACGGUAGAGGUCAGGGGUUCGAUACCCCUCGUGCCUACCA
rnacentral:tRNA from 4 species